GCGUAGGAAUCUGCCUGGUAGUGGGGGACAACAUGUGUAAACGCAUGCUAAUACCGCAUACGCCCUACGGGGGAAAGGAGGGGAUCUUCGGACCUUUCGCUAUCAGAUGAGCCUGCGUGAGAUUAGCUAGUUGGUGGGGUAAAGGCUCACCAAGGCGACGAUCUCUAGCUGGUCUGAGAGGAUGAUCAGCCACACUGGGACUGAGACACGGCCCAGACUCCUACGGGAGGCAGCAGUGGGGAAUAUUGGACAAUGGGCGCAAGCCUGAUCCAGCCAUGCCGCGUGUGUGAAGAAGGCCCUCGGGUUGUAAAGCACUUUCAGAGGUGAGGAAGGGUGCGUAGUUAAUACCUGCGUACUUUGACGUUAACCUCAGAAGAAGCACCGGCUAACUCUGUGCCAGCAGCCGCGGUAAUACAGAGGGUGCGAGCGUUAAUCGGAAUUACUGGGCGUAAAGCGCGCGUAGGCGGUUUGUUAAGUCGGAUGUGAAAUCCCAGGGCUCAACCUUGGAAU
rnacentral:rRNA from 1 species